rnacentral:RNase_P_RNA from 1 species
GGAGUCGGCCAGGCAAUCGCUGGUAGCGUCCGUGCCUUUGCGCAAGUGAAGGAUGCGAACGAUGCGAGAGGAAAGUCCGGGCUCCUCAGGGCAAGGUGCCAGGUAACACCUGGGGGGCGUGAGCCCAUGGAAAGUGCAGCAGAGAGUAGACCGCCUAAGGGCGCGUUGCUUGCAACGCGCAACGGCAAGGGUGAAAGGGUGCGGUAAGAGCGCACCGCGUGCGUGGUAACACGGCACGGCAUGGUAAACCCCGCCUGGAGCAAGGCCAAAUAGGAAUCCGUUGAUGUGGCCCGCAUCGGAUUCGGGUAGGCCGCCAGAGGUGUUUGGUGACAAAUGCCCUAGAUGAAUGAUUGCCGGCUGCCGCGUACUUGUGCGCGGCAGCGACAGAACCCGGCUUAUCGGCCGACUCGUUUU